AUUGAACGCUGGCGGCAGGCCUAACACAUGCAAGUCGAGCGGAUGAGAGGAGCUUGCUUCUCGAUUCAGCGGCGGACGGGUGAGUACUGCCUAGGAAUCUGCCUGGUAGUGGGGGACAACGUUUCGAAAGGAACGCUAAUACCGCAUACGUCCUACGGGAGAAAGCAGGGGACCUUCGGGCCUUGCGCUAUCAGAUGAGCCUAGGUCGGAUUAGCUAGUUGGUGAGGUAAUGGCUCACCAAGGCGACGAUCCGUAACUGGUCUGAGAGGAUGAUCAGCCACACUGGAACUGAGACACGGUCCAGACUCCUACGGGAGGCAGCAGUGGGGAAUAUUGGACAAUGGGCGAAAGCCUGAUCCAGCCAUGCCGCGUGUGUGAAGAAGGUCUUCGGAUUGUAAAGCACUUUAAGUUGGGAGGAAGGGUUGUAGAUUAAUACUCUGCAAUUUUGACGUUACCGACAGAAUAAGCACCGGCUAACUCUGUGCCAGCCGCCGCGGUAAGAC
rnacentral:rRNA from 1 species